UACGAAGGGGGCUAGCGUUGCUCGGAAUCACUGGGCGUAAAGCGCACGUAGGCGGAUCUUUAAGUCAGGGGUGAAAUCCUGGAGCUCAACUCCAGAACCGCCUUUGAUACUGAGGAUCUUGAGUCCGGGAGAGGUGAGUGGAACUCCGAGUGUAGAGGUGAAAUUCGUAGAUAUUCGGAAGAACACCAGUGGCGAAGGCGGCUCACUGGCCCGGUACUGACGCUGAGGUGCGAAAGCGUGGGGAGCAAACAGG
rnacentral:rRNA from 1 species